GGCGGCUCUGGGGGGUUUGGGGAUUUGGCUUUUAGUACAGCCGGAAAGUAGGGGCUGGGGGGGGCUCUGAAACUUUCGCUUUAGCCCAAAAUGUACGGUGUAUUGCUUUGAAGAGUUUGGCAUCUGAAUGUGGUCUUUUUCCACACACCCAGUGGCCUCUUAUCUUUGAAAUAUUUAAUCUUUUAAAGUUAUUUCUGUUUUAAAAUUGAGUUCCAGGUGUAAGGAGUGCCAGUGAACCCCAGCGUGCCCAGCAGCCUGCCUGCUUCCCUGCCCUUUCGCCGCCAUCCAGCCCGGGCGCGCUCUCCUGGAGCGUGCAGUGCUACGGCACCUCUGAGCCCUGCUCCCAGGGACUGCCCUGGAAGGAGGCUGUCUUCUGAGCUGCUACACGUUAUCUUCCCGGUGAAAUAACCUACGGAUUAUUACAAGGAAGAAGGAAAUGUCUGAGGACUCAUUCUUACUGCUAAAGUGGUGGAAAGAGACAGAAUGAAGGUGACUACUCUGAAUAAAGACGCAUGCUUGUGAUACUGGAUACUGGCAUCAUCUUCCUCAGUUCAAGUGGAACAUAAUGGGACAAAGAUAUCCAAGAACACCGAAGACUAACAGUUCCUUGGUCAAUGCACUUAUAUUGUCAUGAAGAUGAAGAAUCUCUUUGUCCAGUUCAGCUAUAUGAUGGUCUCGAUGUCUCAGUUCAUCUUGGAGGUCUGAUAUUCGGCAUAAAAAUUCUUUCUCCUGUGACAUAAGUAGCAGCAGC